rnacentral:rRNA from 1 species
GGAGUCUGGGCCGUAUCUCAGUCCCAAUGUGGCCGUUCAACCUCUCAGUCCGGCUACUGAUCGUCGACUUGGUGGGCCGUUACCUCACCAACUAUCUAAUCAGACGCGAGCCCAUCUCAGAGCGAUAAAUCUUUGACUCUCAGAAGAUGCCUUCCAAAAGUUUUAUGCGGUAUUAGCAGCCGUUUCCAGCUGUUGUCCCCCUCUCUGAGGCAGGUUGCUCACGCGUUACUCACCCGUCCGCCACUAAGUCAUACCUUCCGUUGACCGAAGUCUCCUUCCAAUAUGCUUCGUUCGACUUGCAUGUGUUAGGCACGCCGCCAGCGUUCAUC